GGACGAACGCUGGCGGCGUGCUUAACACAUGCAAGUCGAACGGAAAGGCCCUGCUUGCAGGGUGCUCGAGUGGCGAACGGGUGAGUAACACGUGGGUGAUCUGCCCCUUACUUUGGGAUAAGCCUGGGAAACUGGGUCUAAUACUGGAUAGGACCAUGCUGUAGGUGGUGUGGUGGAAAGAUUAGUUUCGGUAAGGGAUGAGCUCGCGGCCUAUCAGCUUGUCGGUGGGGUAAUGGCCUACCAAGGCGUCGACGGGUAGCCGGCCUGAGAGGGUGGACGGCCACAUUGGGACUGAGAUACGGCCCAGACUCCUACGGGAGGCAGCAGUGGGGAAUAUUGCACAAUGGGCGCAAGCCUGAUGCAGCGACGCCGCGUGGGGGAUGACGGCCUUCGGGUUGUAAACUCCUUUCAGCCAUGACGAAGCCCUUGUGGUGACGGUAGUGGUAGAAGAAGCACCGGCUAACUACGUG
rnacentral:rRNA from 1 species